rnacentral:rRNA from 1 species
CCUGAAAUCCUUACUGGCAUUACUCCAAUAAAGCGGAGGUACUAUAAACGAGACCAACAGGGAUGCAUCAGUAACGGCGAGUUCGAAGCGGCAAGAGCUCAAAUCGAAAUCAUGGCGCCUCCGGCGUCCGAGAUAGUAAUCCGGAGAGGAUGCUUCGGGUGCGGCCGCGGCCUAAGUCCCCUGGAACGGGGCGUCGCAGAGGGUGAGAAUCCCGUCUAUCUGGUCGCCGGUGCGCGCCCGUGUGAAGCUCCUUCGACGAGUCGAGUUGUUUGGGAAUGCAGCUCUAAAUGGGUGGUAAAUUUCAUCUAAAGCUAAAUACUGGCGGGAGACCGAUAGCGAACAAGUAGAGUGAUCGAAAGGUUAAAAGCACCUUGAAAAGGGAGUUAAACAGCACGUGAAAUUGUUGAAAGGGAAGCGCUUGCAGCCAGACUCGGGCGCGGGGGUUCAGCGGGCACGCGUGCCCGUGCACUCCCCCGCGGCCGGGCCAGCAUCGGUUCGGGCGGCCGGUCAAAGGCCCCGGGAAUGUGUCGCCCUCCGGGGCGUCUUAUAGCCCGGGGUGCAAUGCGGCCAGCCUGGACCGAGGAACGCGCUUCGG